UCCCUGUUGAAGUAUGGGGCUGUUGUACCAGUUACAUUCACAUAAUCAGAUUCAGAUAGAAUCUUUGAAUACGUUCACAGUCCCACCUCAUGUGAACAUAGGAUCCGCGGACCCCACAUCCUCUCCAGCACAAUGGUGAAAGUCCGGGUGUCCACAAAUUGGUAUCAGUGGGGAUAUCCCUGGCAUCAAUGAUUCCUUUCUAUAUUUCCAGACCUUUAAUAUGGGAUUAAUGCUUGUAUGUUGUUGUUGUAUUCCCUUUUUAAUUUCUUUUUUAAUAAAGGUUAAUACUGCCAGAUCUAUAUCUUGAAAUAAAGACUUUUCUAUA